ACCAAACAAUAUCUUCUUGGGUUAUAGUCGCAAAGAAAAAAAAUGAGAAAAUGAACCCGAUUUUAAAAAAUUCAAGCAAAAGUAAUAAACGUGUCUAAAGUAUAAAUCAUCCACUCUAUGAGUGACGUUUUGAUUUUUGUACAAUUAUUAUAACUGCUCAUGUGUCUUUUUUAGAGUUUCCUUUAACUUACGAUAAAGUUGCGAGAAUUUAUUUUGUUUUAUUUUUCGUUUUUACCCCGCGGUCACUAGGUACUAGUUUCCCAUAAGAAUUUAAUAAUCGUGUAAAUCCCAUUUCACUUCAUAGUAGAAUUUUUUGACAGGUAAUUUAAAUUUUUUGGAGUGAAAUAAAGUAUAAAUUGAGAGUGUGUGUGUUUGUGUUAAAAACUAAAUCCCAGCGACAAAUUUUGAGCCAAGGAAACCUACCCGAAACUCCAAAAAAUGUUGUUGCAAAAUUCUGCAAUGAAUUGAAAUGGCAUAUAUAGUCUUAUUUCUGAUAAAAUGUGAAUGUAAUGUUAAAAUUAUGUGCAAAUUCAUUGAAGCUUAUUCAGGUAUUUACCUACGCACUGAUAAACUGAUAAGAGUGAAAGUUAUAUUGGGGUGAUGUGGUCAAAAUUCCUUCAGGGUAGAUAAUAAAGGGGUCAUAAUCCGCAGGUGGUUCUUCGAUAUUAAUAAUGUGACUAGACUGUGAACUGUAAUUACGGGUAUUUACACCACACAAGAAGUUAGAGUUUGCAGAAAAACAUCUAAUAAUUUUUUAAGAACAUUUUCUCAAUCGACAAUGAACUACUUAGUGCUCUUAAUUAAAUACAAAUAGCUCUCUCCACUUUGGAAAAUUUUAACAUUAAUAAAUUUCUUUGGCGCACACAUUCAUUUAUUUUGCAAGAUACAUCGAAACAAAGUAAACAAAUUACGAGUCCAGGUUUGAGUUACGUUAGUUUUUUAACUUCUAUCUCUUUCCUUGAGUCUGAACUGUAAAUCUACACGUAAAGAGGAAUUAAAAAGAAGCAAACACAAAUAAGAGGAAUAAUAAAAUGUUGCAAAAACAUCAUUCAUCUACGUAUUUCUUUUCAUUUACUUAUUUUUUCUUUCAACAAAAUUUUUAAAUUGUGAUUAGCAUAAAAAUGACAUUAUAACUUAUUGAAUUAUGUUUGUAAACAAAACAUGGUACAGAAACUAAUAAGAAAAAAUGGACAACGUUUUAGAGAAUUUAAAGUAAUUCAAACAAAAGCAAUAAAAUAUAAAUAACGUAUUGAUUUAUGCACAAUUAUUACAACAGUUCAUGUCUUAUUUCUAAAAAAGUAUGUAUUAAUGUAAUCUUAAAAUUAUGUAUAAAUGCAUUUUAGCUAACUUAGGUACCUGUAAACUGAUAAAAGACAAAGUUAUAUUGGGGUGAUAAGAUAAUGCUCAAAAUUCCUUCAGAAGAGAUUAUAAGGGUAUCUUAAUCCGCAGGUGAUUUUUGGACUUUAUGAGACUAGAACUGUAAACUAUAAUUACGGGUAUUAGCACGAGACAAGAAGUCUUCGCUUUCUGAAAACUUUCUAAUAAUUUUCACAGAAAUUUUGUUGUUGCUAUCUACAAUAAAGAGUAGAAAAAACUAUUGUCAAUUUACAAACUCCUAUGCUUUUGAGUUAUAACACAAUUUGGGGCUUGAUUUACUUAUUAAUAAUAAUUAUAAUUAUUAGGUAUUCCAGAAGCAUUAUAAAAAACAUUGUUUCUAUUAAACAAAAUAUUUCCCUCUGUAAAAUUGUAAAAUUUCAUUUUAAACUUAAAGAAAUGAUAAGAUGCUAUGAGCCUAUAGGUACUGUACGUUUUAUAAUAAAAACGUUUGAUUUUCUGAUAAAUAACGUAAUUAUACAGAUCACAAUAUCCCAGAAACAAUAAUUUAAAAAAAAACACAAAGGUCUAUAGAAUAUUCUUUUGAAUUAGAAAUCCUACAAAAAUUACGAAGUAAUCUUUCAAUAUGCUAACACCAUUAUUAACUCAACUACACUGUACAAAAAAAAAAACACUUUUAUUAUCAAAAUUUAUUUUCGAAUUGGAGACUUAAUAAAUGAACAAUGGUAAUAUUCGAUGUCUAAAUGCCUGUCAUUAGUUCUAUAAAGCGGCAUUUUCUAAUUUUACAUAAAAAAUUCACAGACGACUAGACGAAAAUCUUUCUAACAAACAUUGUAGUUUUUUAUUAGGUUCCAAUUUUAUUUUCAUACUGUUUACUCCAUGUAUUAAUAAUUCCUUAUUUUUAAGAACUUUUCAGUAGUUGAGUAUUGUUUUUAGAAAGUUGCAAAAGCCCAAGCUCCACCCCUUACCUGAUUUUCUAAACCACUAUAAGUAAAAGAAAUAACAGCCCCAAAUUUCAUUUUUCCUGCUAGCUUUAAAGAAAAACAACUCAAAAAAUUUCCUCACUUAUUAUCGUAGCUGAUUGCGACCAAACCAUCUUCUAAACAAAAUGGCAGCUGUAAACAAAGCACAAAUAAUGGCGGCAAUGGAAUGCCCUGUGUGCUACGACAUUCUGCGCCCCCCAAUCCACCCCUGCAACCAAGGACACCCAAUUUGCGGAGACUGUCGGCAACAGAUGGAAAGGCUGAGCCAAAAUGUGUGCUGUCCGCUUUGUCGGAGCGGAUAUUCCUUGCCUCCAUCUCACAUUUUGGAGGCAAUCUACGACAGCCUGAGGGUCAGCUGUAGAUUUAAUGCUGGGGGGUGCAGACAUGUCUGCUGGGGCAAGGACAUGAAGAUCCACGAGCAAAAGUGCAAGUUUGGUCCAAGGACGUGCCCAAGGAGAAAUGAAGGUUGUUUGUGGAUUGGACCACUGACCAUGCUUGCUAAACAUUGCAUUGAAAAUCAUUGUCCAAGCGUAAAUUUAAAUUAGGUAGUGUAGUUGUUGUAAAUAGUGUAUAAAUAGUGAUAGAAAAUUGUAAAUAGUUGUAGUCUAGAGAUAAGUAAUUGUGUUUAGUUGACUUUUGUAAAAUAAAUUUUAUUUUGCAUUAA